rnacentral:rRNA from 1 species
UACGGGGGGAGCAAGCGUUGUUCGGAUUUACUGGGCGUAAAGGGCGCGUAGGCGGCCACCGCAAGUCGACUGUGAAAUCUCCGGGCUUAACUCGGAAAGGUCAACUGAUACUGUGCGACUAGAGUGCAGAAGGGGCAACUGGAAUUCUCGGUGUAGCGGUGAAAUGCGUAGAUAUCGAGAGGAACACCUGCGGCGAAGGCGGGUUGCUGGGCUGACACUGACGCUGAUGCGCGAAAGCCAGGGGAGCGAACGGG